CCUACGGGUGGCAGCAGUGAGGAAUAUUGGGCAAUGGGCUCAAGCCUGACCCAGCAAAGCCGCGUGAGGGAAGAAGGCUUUCUGGUUGGAAACUUCUUUUCUCAGGGGCGCAACAAGUGACGGUACCUGACGGAUAAACCACAGCUAACUACAGGACAGCAGCCACAGGAAUUCGUAGGUGGCAGGCAUUAUCCGGAUUUAAUGGGUUUAACGGGCGUGUAGGGGGGGACGCAAGUCAGAUGGGAAAGCCACGGGCUCAACCUGUGGCCCGCAUUUGACACUGUGUUGCUUGAGUACUUGAGAGGCAGACGGAAUGCGUAGUGUAGCGGUGAAAUGCGUAGAUAUUAGGAGGAACACCAGUGGCGAAGGCGGCCUGCUGGACAGCAACUGACGCUGAGGCGCGAAAGCGUGGGGAGCAAACAGGAUUAGAUACCCUUGUAGUC
rnacentral:rRNA from 1 species